rnacentral:rRNA from 1 species
GGCUGAAAUUCGCCUUCAUGAAGCUGGAAUUGCUAGUAAUGGCAGGUCAGCAUACUGCCGUGAAUACGUUCCCGGGCCCUUGUACACACCGCCCGUCACACCAUGAGAGUUGGGAAUACCCGAAGCCUGUGAGCUAACAUAAUGAGGCAGCAGUCGAAGGUAGAAUCAAUGAUUGGGGUGAAGUCGUAACAAGGUACC